CCGGUUUGCAGCUGCGGCGGCGGGAGCCUGUACCGCAGUAGGACUGGGCGUCCGAGUCGACGCUGGGGACAAGGCGCUUGGUCCCGCCGCCGCGUGCCUAAGACAGAGAGCGGGGGUGGAGUGGGCCCCUAGACCCAGCCGCUUCCUGCAGGGCUAGCCAAGGGCUUCUCGGCUGUGCUCAAAGUCUUGCAGCCCCGGAAAACAGGGCUGUGUUUGGGACAGGGCUCCCGCUUCCUCAGGCCACCAAACUCUUCGACACCUGGUCUCCUGCCCGCUGGACUCUGCUUGCGCCGAACCCCCCACUUUAACCAGGAAGGGGCAAGGCAGUCAGCACGUGUUCCCAGGAAGUAAGACCUACCCAACAGAAAGAAAUAGGAGAACAAGCCCACUGAAGGAUGAAAGACCCUGUGGAACAGAGCUGACUCAUUGCAGUUGAGGUCAUCCUUGACCAGCCAGCCCUCAGUUGGCCGCAGAGGAAAAAUUCUCAAGAAGCCACAUGAAAGACAGGCACUGCCUCCACGGACAUCGAACAGUAAAGUAGGAAGUUGCAUCCCUCACGACUCCUGAAGAGUUGUCUUCCAUCACAUUGUCCUCUCUGUCUAGAAACUUCGUUUCUAAGCAGUUGAUUUCAGGUAAGGGAGAUCAUCCUACAUAAUUUGGAUGAACAAGAUUCAAUCAGUUGAAAGGUAUCAAGAGCAGAGCUGAGGCUUCUCUGAAGAAGAAAAACAUUAUCCUG
ensembl:lncRNA